UCCAAACUAGCAAGUACUGCCCCAUGUGCAA
rnacentral:piRNA from 1 species